rnacentral:rRNA from 1 species
CAGAUAGCAUGCCAUGUCUAAGUAUAAGCAAUUAUACCGUGAAACUGCGAAUGGCUCAUUAAAUCAGUUAUCGUUUAUUUGAUAGUACCUUACCACUUGGAUAACCGUGGUAAUUCUAGAGCUAAUACAUGCUAAAAACCCCGACUUUGGAAGGGGUGUGUUUAUUAGAUAAAAAACCAAUGCCCUUCGGGGCUCUUUGGUGAUUCAUGAUAACCUAACGGAUCGCAUGGCCUUGCGCCGGCGACGGUUCAUUCAAAUUUCUGCCCUAUCAACUUUCGAUGGUAAGGUAUUGGCUUACCAUGGUUUCAACGGGUAACGGGGAAUUAGGGUUCGAUUCCGGAGAGGGAGCCUGAGAAACGGCUACCACAUCCAAGGAAGGCAGCAGGCGCGCAAAUUACCCAAUCCCGACACGGGGAGGUAGUGACAAUAAAUACUGAUACAGGGCUCUUUUGGGUCUUGUAAUUGGAAUGAGUACAAUUUAAACCCCUUAACGAGGAACAAUUGGAGGGCAAGUCUGGUGCCAGCAGCCGCGGUAAUUCCAGCUCCAAUAGCGUAUAUUAAAGUUGUUGCAGUUAAAAAGCUCGUAGUUGAAACUUGGGUCUGGCUGGCGGGUCCGCCUCACCGCGUGCACUUGUCCGGCCGGACCUUUCCUUCUGGAGUACCUCAUGCCCUUCACUGGGUGUGUUGGGGAACCAGAACUUUUACUUUGAAAAAAUUAGAGUGUUCAAAGCAGGCCUUUGCUCGAAUACGUUAGCAUGGAAUAAUAGAAUAGGACGUGCGGUCCUAUUUUGUUGGUUUCUAGGAUCGCCGUAAUGAUUAAUAGGGAUAGUCGGGGGCAUCAGUAUUCAAUUGUCAGAGGUGAAAUUCUUGGAUUUAUUGAAGACUAACUACUGCGAAAGCAUUUGCCAAGGAUGUUUUCAUUAAUCAGUGAACGAAAGUUAGGGGAUCGAAGACGAUCAGAUACCGUCGUAGUCUUAACCGUAAACUAUGCCGACUAGGGAUCGGGCGAUGUUUUUAUCUUGACUCGCUCGGCACCUUACGAGAAAUCAAAGUUUUGGUCUGGGGG